CUAUCAUACCACCUUCUCUGGUGCCGCUGAGCCGCUUGCAGACUCUCCCUGCAAGCGAUCCCUCAACUCCAGAACGUACGGCAUACUAGGUAUUCCUUCCUCCCCUGUGUUACCCUCCCAGUGCUCCUGUAUGAUAUCCAGGAGUCCCUGUACUUUUCUCCCGUAAAGGAGUUUGAAGGGGGAGAACCCUGUAGAUGCCUGGGGCACUUCGCAGUAGGCAAACAGAAGAUGGGGAAGGAACCUUUCCCACUGCUGACAGGAGGCUGCGAACAUCGUAAGCAUCUGCUUAAGCUUGCC